rnacentral:rRNA from 1 species
CUUGUAGGCGGCUUGUCGCGUCUGCUGUGAAAGCCCGGGGCUUAACUCCGGGUCUGCAGUGGGUACGGGCAGGCUAGAGUGUGGUAGGGGAGACUGGAAUUCCUGGUGUAGCGGUGGAAUGCGCAGAUAUCAGGAGGAACACCGAUGGCGAAGGCAGGUCUCUGGGCCAUUACUGACGCUGAGAAGCGAAAGCGUGGGGAGCGAACA